GAUGAACGCUAGCGGCAGGCUUAACACAUGCAAGUCGAGGGGUAACAUUGAUUGCUUGCAAUCAGAUGACGACCGGCGCACGGGUGCGUAACGCGUAUAGAACCUACCUUUUACAGAGGGAUACUCCAGAGAAAUUUGGCCUAAUACCUCAUGGUGUUUUAGAUUGGCAUCAAUUUAAGACUAAAGAUUUAUUGGUAAAAGAUGGCUAUGCGUCCUAUUAGCUAGAUGGUAAGGUAACGGCUUACCAUGGCAACGAUAGGUAGGGGUCCUGAGAGGGAGAUCCCCCACACUGGUACUGAGACACGGACCAGACUCCUACGGGAGGCAGCAGUGAGGAAUAUUGGACAAUGGAGGCAACUCUGAUCCAGCCAUGCCGCGUGAAGGAUGACUGCCCUAUGGGUUGUAAACUUCUUUUAUAUAGGAAGAAACCCCUCUACGAGUUAGAGGCUUGACGGUACUAUAUGAAUAAGCACCGGCUAACUCCG
rnacentral:rRNA from 1 species